rnacentral:lncRNA from 1 species
GGGUGUUUGGUGGAAAACUAAACUUUGGCAUCUGCAGGAGAUUUUACAAGCCCAGGCAGACAGCAGAUUUGGGGGCUGAGAACUGGCUGGAGGUGUGCAGGAGUCUCACAGGCAGGAGACAUUUAUCCUGACCGGCCGGAGGGGAGAGACUCCCUGAACACCCUGAGGGGUGAGUGUAAGUCAGGCUGGUCUCACAUUGGUAAAGACAAGGUUGGCACGCACACCCGGCAGAGUUGCUUCCUCCCAUCCUACGCGGUAUAUGGGAAGAACGUCUCACCGUGGAGUGCCAGCCUCCAAGUGAUUUAAUUCCUUCUCUUUCUGUAACAAUUAACUGCUGAUCACCCAAAGGAUCGUCAUUCCGUGUCUCCGAUCUGGGCUUUGUUUCCAGACAGCUAGCUCAGGGGAAGUUGGAUGGGACCAGGAGGGGACGGGCGCUGGAGUCAUAUCCGGCCUCCCCUUGACCUGGAAGUACUUGGAGCCUGGGGCAGCGGGGACUCUAUCAGAAAAGACAGGGAUUCCCCUGAGUGGUAUUUCACCCGAAACAUCCGGUCAGUGCCAGCCUCCCUCUCCACCGGAAGGAUGGGAGUCCAGGUGGUGUAGGGCCUCUACCAGAACGAAGAGGGUCCCUAGUUCAGGCAUGUGGGAAGCUGUGGAGUCCUUUUUUUCCCUCCUGGACAUGCAGGAUCAUGGUGCCAUCUCGCAAAAUCAGCCAGGAAGGGGCCUGCAGAAGGGCCUGGUGCCUGGUAGGACGGCAGGGGUGGCACAGGAAGAGAGGAGACACCUGGCAGUUGUUGGAAGGACCCUCUGGGUUGAGUACCCGUACUUUGCUGGAGCCGAUAUUCCCAUCAGUCCUUAAGGUGGUGCCUGCCCACAGCUUUGGCCAUUCUUGCUCCCCAGGGACACAGCACAGUCCACAGAUGUGUCCUCCAUUCCUCCCACAGGCAUCAUCAUGACUGCUCUGGCUCCUCUUGGCGGUGAUGGAGUGUAGACAUCUGGACUAAACUCAGUGGAUUAUGUUGUCCAUGAUUAUUUUAAUGGAAAAAAGCCUCAGGCCCAAGAUGAUCAAGAAAUUAUGACCUUGUUGUACUGUCCCAGCACAGGGGUGUGAGAGCACCUAACCUGGGGUUCCUAAACAGUCUAGAUUUGGCCACUCCCCAAUUACAAAAUCCAAAGGCAGAGAAAUGUGUGGUGGUUAAAGAAGAAAGGACCUCAGCGAGGACAACGCAGGGAAGACAGUGGAAUAACCUCUCAAAAAUUGUCUCCAAAGUGCUCAAAACGCUUCCGGGUUUGUAGAAGGAAAAUGUGGGGCAAAGGUGAGUAGGGACUUGCUGGUAGGCAGUAAAAGUCAAAUAGGUCAUUGUCCUGGAGUCAAUCAUGGGUGGGGUCUUGCAUGUUCAGGGUAAUCCUUAGUGCUUAAGGUGUAGUUUGGGUUCCCAUCAGAGGAUGCUUUGCCAUCAGGGUCUUCCAUCUGAGUCGAGACAAGCUGGAAAGAAGAACCUAGCUAGAAAGUUUGAGGUCAAAUGGGGGCAGCCAAGGUCCUCUUUUGGUACUAAGAGAAACAGUAUGUGUGAAGCCACUUUGGGCCCUCAACCAACCUAGUAAUCCUAAGGUUUAACAAGAACACUUAGCCCACAUGAUUGAUUAACAUUUCUCUGAUCAUCUAUAGAUCAUGCAUUCUCUCCUAGAAAGAGUGAGCACUUCUGCAUGCCACAAAGCGAAACAGACCCUCUUGCACAACCCCUAGGCACUAAGGAACCAGACCCCCUUGUACCACCUACCAGCACUGUGAUAACAUCUAUAGCUAGCAGCACCAAGUGUGCAUAUAGUCAAGAAAUGUCACAGACCAAUGUAGUCCCUUUACUGGUUCACUGUCCUAACAUUAACAAUCUGUAGGCAAGACAGAAACCUCAGAAUUGGCAUUUUUACUAGAAUCCACCUUCUCCCUAGGUGGCCAGUCUCCUGAUAAAGAUCAUGUUCUGUUCCAAUCAACACCUGCCUCGUUAGUAUUGACUUCUGGGAGUUCUAGGUAGCCAGAACUGGGUUUUGGAAACAGAGGAGGGUAUUUGAACACAGAGGCACACACACAGAGCAACCCAUCCAUGUGAAGAAGCAAUUCUAGGGA